rnacentral:rRNA from 1 species
GAUGAGUAGGGCGGGACACGUGGUAUCCUGUCUGAAUAUGGGGGGACCAUCCUCCAAGGCUAAAUACUCCUGACUGACCGAUAGUGAACCAGUACCGUGAGGGAAAGGCGAAAAGAACCCCGGCGAGGGGAGUGAAAAAGAACCUGAAACCGUGUACGUACAAGCAGUGGGAGCCUCUUAAUGGGGUGACUGCGUACCUUUUGUAUAAUGGGUCAGCGACUUAUAUUCUGUAGCAAGGUUAACCGAAUAGGGGAGCCGAAGGGAAACCGAGUCUUAACUGGGCGUUAAGUUGCAGGGUAUAGACCCGAAACCCGGUGAUCUAGCCAUGGGCAGGUUGAAGGUUGGGUAACACUAACUGGAGGACCGAACCGACUAAUGUUGAAAAAUUAGCGGAUGACUUGUGGCUGGGGGUGAAAGGCCAAUCAAACCGGGAGAUAGCUGGUUCUCCCCGAAAGCUAUUUAGGUAGCGCCUCGUGAAUUCAUCUCCGGGGGUAGAGCACUGUUUCGGCAAGGGGGUCAUCCCGACUUACCAACCCGAUGCAAACUGCGAAUACCGGAGAAUGUUAUCACGGGAGACACACGGCGGGUGCUAACGUCCGUCGUGAAGAGGGAAACAACCCAGACCGCCAGCUAAGGUCCCAAAGUCAUGGUUAAGUGGGAAACGAUGUGGGAAGGCCCAGACAGCCAGGAUGUUGGCUUAGAAGCAGCCAUCAUUUAAAGAAAGCGUAAUAGCUCACUGGUCGAGUCGGCCUGCGCGGAAGAUGUAACGGGGCUAAACCAUG